rnacentral:rRNA from 1 species
CGUUCAAAAUAGGUAUAAGAGGUCCCGCCUGCCCUGUGACUAAAAGUUUAACGGCCGCGGUAUUUUGACCGUGCGAAGGUAGCGUAAUCACUUGUCUUUUAAAUAAAGACCUGUAUGAAUGGCAUAACGAGGGCUAAGCUGUCUCCUUUUUCCAGUCAAUGAAAUUGAUCUGCUCGUGCAGAAGCGAGCAUAAAGACAUAAGACGAGAAGACCCUAUGGAGCUUUCAGACACAAGAACAGCCCACAUCAAAACACCUAGAUGAUUAGGAAAAAAUCAAAUGGCCCCUGUUCCCAUGUCUUUGGUUGGGGCGACCGCGGGGAAACAAACAACCCCCACGUGGAAAAGGACAAAAUCCUUAAACAUCAGACCCACAAGUCUAAAAAACAGAAAUUCUGACCAAAAAGAUCCGGCAAAGCCGAUUAACGGACCCAGUUACCCUAGGGAUAACAGCGCAAUCCCCUUUUAGAGCCCAUAUCGACAAGGGGGUUUACGACCUCGAUGUUGGAUCAGGACUUCCUAAUGGUGCAGCCGCUAUUAAGGGUUCGUUUGUUCAACGAUUAAAGUCCUACGUAGUCUGAGUUCAGACCGAGGG